rnacentral:tRNA from 1 species
GGCAAAGUAGCUCAGCUGGUUAGAGCGCACGACUCAUAAUCGUGAGGUCGGGAGUUCAAAUCUCCCCUUUGCUACCA